UGUCUGGGAAACUGCCUGAUGGAGGGGGAUAACUACUGGAAACGGUAGCUAAUACCGCAUAACGUCGCAAGACCAAAGUGGGGGACCUUCGGGCCUCAUGCCAUCAGAUGUGCCCAGAUGGGAUUAGCUUGUAGGUGAGGUAACGGCUCACCUAGGCGACGAUCCCUAGCUGGUCUGAGAGGAUGACCAGCCACACUGGAACUGAGACACGGUCCAGACUCCUACGGGAGGCAGCAGUGGGGAAUAUUGCACAAUGGGCGCAAGCCUGAUGCAGCCAUGCCGCGUGUAUGAAGAAGGCCUUCGGGUUGUAAAGUACUUUCAGCGAGGAGGAAGGCGAUAAGGUUAAUAACCUUGUCGAUUGACGUUACUCGCAGAAGAAGCACCGGCUAACUCCGUGCCAGCAGCCGCGGUAAUACGGAGGGUGCAAGCGUUAAUCGGAAUUACUGGGCGUAAAGCGCACGCAGGCGGUCUGUUAAGUCAGAUGUGAAAUCCCCGGG
rnacentral:rRNA from 1 species